ACCCUGUAAGGGAAGAAUCCUGGGAAAGAGGCAAGCCUAUGAAGUCCCAGGAUCAAGGCACCACGGCUGACACCACAUGCGCAGAGAGAGGGGAAAGACCAAGAAGUGACUCAUGACAUCACCCUCGUCUCUGAAAGACAAGAUGUUGGUCUCCUCAGGUGCCGUGCAGUCUUCAGUGUUGGCUGCAGCCACAGCCCCUGCAAUGCAGACCAGGAUGAGGGAAAGCCGCUGGAAGAGGCCUACAGCAUUUUUUAUUAGUAAAUCCAGAGGACGUGUUAUAUAAAGUGUAAGACAACCACCAUUGCAUGCAUUUAUUCAUUCACUCAUUCAGUAAGGAAUUUUCCAUUUCUUUAUAAAUGAGUAAAAGGUACAGGCUGGGUGGCCUUGGCCAGUAUCCCAUUAAUGAAAGACAGAUUUGAAUAAAAA
rnacentral:lncRNA from 1 species